rnacentral:rRNA from 1 species
GACGAACGCUGGCGGCGUGCUUAACACAUGCAAGUCGAACGGAAAGGCCCUGCUUGCAGGGUACUCGAGUGGCGAACGGGUGAGUAACACGUGGGUGAUCUGCCCUGCACUUCGGGAUAAGCCUGGGAAACUGGGUCUAAUACCGGAUAGGAGCCAUUUUUAGUGUGAUGGUUGGAAAGUUUUUUCGGUGUAGGAUGAGCUCGCGGCCUAUCAGCUUGUUGGUGGGGUAAUGGCCUACCAAGGCGGCGACGGGUAGCCGGCCUGAGAGGGUGGACGGCCACAUUGGGACUGAGAUACGGCCCAGACUCCUACGGGAGGCAGCAGUGGGGAAUAUUGCACAAUGGGCGCAAGCCUGAUGCAGCGACGCCGCGUGGGGGAUGACGACCUUCGGGUUGUAAACUCCUUUCGCUAGGGACGAAGCUUUUUGUGACGGUACCUAGAUAAGAAGCACCGGCUAACUACGUG